UACAGGGAUUUAGAGUGCAUGAUAUCUGAGUUAGAUAUGUUAACUAACUCAAUUAAUUGUUAUCACUGUGUUAUUGGAUUAACAUAGUUCUGGAGUGGUAGAAUGGAUUUACUGAAGAGAGAAGCCCUACCUGGUUGCAGGUGGCACUAAACAAUAGGCUUGUAGCUUGGCAGGAAUAUAAAGGGACACAAAGAAGACAGUCUUCCUGCUACUGCUGCCUCCUUCCUAUCCUGCCUGGACUUUUUCUCAUCUGCCAUGUCUCUCUGCCAUGCUGCCUGGCCUCAGACCCAGAUGACUAUGGGAUGAAACCUCUGCAAACUACUUCCAGCCUGGACUCUUGGGUCUUCUGACACAUACUCAUGUUGCAUGUCCACACCACACUUAAGAGCCACUAAGAAUUCACCUGACUCACGAGUUGGAACCACUAAUGGACUCUUUAAAAUAGAACUUACAAAACUGUGUGGGUUCCCUGUCCCAAGAGAGUGUCCUCCACUGAUUGUCAUUCGUGUGCCAGUGUGUAAGUACUUUGUGACACUUAAUCAAGAUGGCCGGUAUGUCUUCCUUCCAGCUGUGAUUUUAGCCAUUUCUAAUGCAGAUGAACAGAUUUUAGCCAUGAAUCUCUGAGCUUGUCUGCAUCUCAAGAUUUUAGAGUGGUAAUCUUCCCUGUGACUUCACUUCUUUCAUUGGCCUAUGGCAAGGCUUGAUUUUUUUAGUGUGUUCAACUUUUCACUUGUCAGCAUAAAAGGUGUUAUUUUCAAAAUUUUUAUAUAUUAAAGCUGAAAUGGAAAAUAUGCAUGUGUACACAUAUGUGUAUAUGUUUUAGGUGGAAGAAGAUUUGGCUUGCCUUUUUAAUUUUCUGUUCUAUCAAGUGAUUUCAAAUAGUACAAAAUAACAAAAGAUUGCAAGAGUUGGGAAGAGUGGAACACAGCAAAGCAUUUGUGGAGGAAGGCUCCGAGGAGAAUGUCAAUAGAGUUCCUAGAGACUGGCGUGCUCUCAACAGUUCUUUGUCUACAUUGAAUUUUUAUAUGUUCUAAAGACAUUACUGAAAGAUUUUCCAAAAAUAUCACCCCAAAAUUAAAUCAGUAUUAGUCAAGAACUGUAGUGUUACUUUUCUUGAUUUAAAGUGAACCACCUGAGUCAUUUUUAAUAUGACUUCUGAGUACAUAUACAUAGAAUACAUUUAUUUUUAAUUGAACAUAGUAUACUAGUGAACAUAAUGGCAAUGCCUGAGCUUUCUGGCUCUCAGCAUGGCCCAGUUUUUCUUUUGCUCUAAGCAGUCUCCGUUCCAAUAAUACCAAAUACUGUAAAGGGACUCAUAAUGUAAAAGGUUUGGACUUUCUGCAUAUCCCAUAAUGCAAUGAUAAACCCUUUCUUUUCAAAGAUGAAAAACAAUUUGGAGAUUUUUAUAGUAGUGUGUCACAGAUGCAAAGGCAGUUUUGGGAUUCCAUAGCAGUGUUAUAAAAAUAUUAAAAAUCUUUGUAUGCAGCUAAAUGAUGUAUAUAGUUCUACAGGGCAACAGUAAAGUAAUAUCGUGUCUAAAUUCUAAUAUUUUCUGGCAAUUGACAGUGUUAUGUGUGGGUGUGUA